rnacentral:misc_RNA from 1 species
GAAAGUUUCAAUACGAAGAUAGCUAAUUCAAGCAAAAGUAUACAUCUCAAUUACACAAAAAAUAGAAAACCCUAACAAGAUUUCUCAAUCAUUUCAAUGGGUCUUCACCAAAAUUCACAGAUUAACAGGUACAUGGUAGAUCUCACUGGCUUUUCUUUUUCUCUACCAAGCACCUUUUUUCUAUGUGUCCUUCUUUUUCUUGAUGCAAAUUAAAAGCAGCAAUUUGACCCAUCAAGGAAAAUUUUAUCUUUAUUGGUCAUUAUUUUACUAAUGGUGGAGUAGAUUUUAUGGAGCUUUCAGUUGGUCUUACCUCUACUUGAUCAUUUUUUACUAAUUUUCCCAGCGGGCUGAGCAUGCCCUUCCUCUCAUUUUCUCCAGGAUUGCCCUAAGUGUAUCCAUUGUUGAUUGCAAUUUCGAAAACAACACUGCAUUUGUUUUCAACUUCUGUGGCUGCCAUGGCAACCGCUCAUAGGCUUCUAGCUAGGGUUAUCUUUCUUCUUUUAGUUUCCAGCUAGGGUUAUCUUUCUUCUUUUAGUUUCC